ACACGUGCGCUCGUUAGCCGCUUGAAGUGAUUUGCUUUAUGUCUCUCUUGCUUGCAUCGGUCACGGUCGAGUCAUCACUUCAUCAGUAUCUCAUCAUCUUCCGAACGGUGCAGCCACGUUUUGGUGACGAAGGAACAAAGAGUGAUUGUGUCAGCAGCGCAGUGUCCUGUCAUCACCCUGGCGUCGUGUUUAGACUUCCUUGCAGAGGAAGUCAUCUUAAUCUGCCUGUUCCGUCGAUUCUUCGUCAACCCACCGAGUUAUCGCUUUGGACGUUGUGGUAAAACUUUAUCUGGAACGGGAAGGUGGCCAUAUCAACGUGUUAUUGUGCUUUUCCCAUCAGCCAUCAUUUAUCACCGCAUGCAGGAUGUUUUUUUAUGUCAGAGACCAGGAUGGACAUUUUGAAAUAAUCAAUCAAGAUGAAAUUUUUCGUUUUGAUGCAUCAUGUUACGACAAAUUUACUAAAUAUCCUAUCUUCACUAAAGAUAGAAGUUAUAAAGGAAGCGUGGCAUUUUUUGAUGAGUCUAUGGAAGGAUUGAAAAAACAAAUAGCAUCGCAACGUCCUAAGGCACCCCCAAAUGCUCUAUUAGUUACAGCAGAUGAAUUAUCUACCGAGGAAUCUAAUAAGACCACAAAAUCAAAAUCUAAUAAGAACAAUCCCACAGCACAAAUUCUUCACGAUAAAUUAAAAUCUCUGAGUCAACAAAAACAGGUAACCAAAACAUCAAUUAUUUUAAAAUUCUAUUUUUUAUUUAUUCUUCUUCUUAGAAGUGUAUUUAUGUACGUGUUUUGUAAUUCAUACCCUAGUUGCAUAGCCGCAACUCUCUCUUUACGAAGCGUAUGUACGUAUACACAUUCUGAGUACACAGACUUUGUUAAAUGCGAAUUUGCGUGUGAGUGUAUGAAAGAGAGGGGGGGGAGGGAGAUGAACAAUAGUGUAUAGCUGUGCAAAAGUAUUAUCGAGUACUAUCAAGUUGAGAAAGUUAAAUUUUAGUUAAAAUUAGCCGAAAAUUGAUUAAAUAAUUCACAACCUACUAUAUUUAUAUGUAUAGAAGGCCGCAUUACGUUUUCCUAAACGGUUCGAAAUGUCUCUCAUAUUACUGGAUAAUAAAUCACAGCAUUGCAACGAGCUGCAUCAUAUACAUAAUAGCUCUGCGCGUGCUUGCGAGAGAGUACUGGUCGACGUCUACCCCAUUCAUAUUCGUCAGUGUGCGCAUGUCUAUCUGCAAUGAAAUUAAAAGUACAGGAUUGUUUCCUACUAAUACCUGCAAUCCCGUGCAAUUAUAUGUGCCGCCUCAGAAACUUUGAUUUUAUAAAAUUCUAAAAUUUAACAACAUGCGGUGUACAAUAUGUAGACAAUAAUUAUAAAUGUAAUUUAGAAAUGAUAAAUUAUAUACGUUUAUAUAAUAGCAAAUACAUACAAUUUCUUUCAAAAAGAAUUCUGCUGAUGUAGUUCUGAUCGCUUUAUGACGAUUUCGAAUAUGGACCACAACAACUUUAGAGUCCUUGAUGUAGUGGGCAUGAGAGGAAAUGCUCUGCUCGCCAAAUUCAUCGGCAAUCGAGAGAAAGCAAUGAAACAUUUCAUAACAUUUGGACCAUGCACAAUAAAAUUUUCCAGCACAGCAACCCCGAACCUACACAUGGCAGCAAUUAACGCAGGACCCAGUAGACACCUUAACCCAAUCCUUGGACCAAAAUUUACCGCUAUCAAGCCCCAUACCAAAAAACAGGUCAAAUUCGACGCAUAUAAAAGAGCAAGAAGAAGACAUAUGUGAUACACUAAGCCUGAUUAGUUAUGCAAGACUCUCACAAUAAUCAACAUACGAAUUCAAAAUACUAUCUUAUAACACAGAAAAUAGCUUGCAAUUACAAUUAUACACACGUAUCAUUAUUAAAACCAUUUAGCACCCAAUAUAAAAGGAAAAAGAGUUGUUUUUAAGCUCAUCUCAUCAAGAC